rnacentral:rRNA from 1 species
GAUGAACGCUAGCGGCAGGCCUAAUACAUGCAAGUCGGACGGGAUCUAUCGGAGAGCUUGCUCGAAGAUAGUGAGAGUGGCGCACGGGUGCGUAACGCGUGAGCAACCUACCCAUAUCAGGGGGAUAGCCCGGAGAAAUCCGGAUUAAGACCGCAUAACACUGUGAUUUGGCAUCAUGUUACAGUUAAAUAUUUAUAGGAUAUGGAUGGGCUCGCGUGACAUUAGCUAGUUGGUGAGGUAACGGCUCACCAAGGCGACGAUGUCUAGGGGCUCUGAGAGGAGAAUCCCCCACACUGGUACCGUGACACGGACCAGACUCCUACGGGAGGCAGCAGUAAGGAAAAUUGGUCAAUCGGCGGAAGCCUGAACCAGCCAUGCCGCGUGCAGGACGACUGCCCUAUGGGUUGUAAACUGCUUUUGUCGAGGAAUAAACCUAUCUACGUGUAGAUAGCUGAACGUACUCGAAGAAUAAGGAUCGGCUAACUCCGUGCCAGCAGCCGCAGUAA